rnacentral:rRNA from 1 species
AGAGUUUGAUCCUGGCUCAGGAUGAACGCUGGCGGCGUGCCUAACACAUGCAAGUCGAACGGAGUGUUGAGAGCUUGCUUUUAACACUUAGUGGCGGACGGGUGAGUAAUGUAUGAGCAACCUGCCUUUCAGAGGGGGACAACAGUUGGAAACGACUGCUAAUACCGCAUAAGCCCACGGUGCCGCAUGGCACAGAGGGAAAAGGAGCAAUCCGCUUUGAGAUGGCCUCGCGUCCGAUUAGCUAGUUGGUGAGGUAAUGGCCCACCAAGGCGACGAUCGGUAGCCGGACUGAGAGGUUGAACGGCCACAUUGGGACUGAGACACGGCCCAGACUCCUACGGGAGGCAGCAGUGGGGAAUAUUGCACAAUGGGGGAAACCCUGAUGCAGCGACGCCGCGUGGAGGAAGAAGGUCUUCGGAUUGUAAACUCCUGUUGUUGGGGAAGAUAAUGACGGUACCCAACAAGGAAGUGACGGCUAACUACGUGCCAGCAGCCGCGGUAAAACGUAGGUCACAAGCGUUGUCCGGAAUUACUGGGUGUAAAGGGAGCGCAGGCGGGAAGACAAGUUGGAAGUGAAAUCUAUGGGCUCAACCCAUAAACUGCUUUCAAAACUGUUUUUCUUGAGUAGUGCAGAGGUAGGCGGAAUUCCCGGUGUAGCGGUGGAAUGCGUAGAUAUCGGGAGGAACACCAGUGGCGAAGGCGGCCUACUGGGCACCAACUGACGCUGAGGCUCGAAAGUGUGGGUAGCAAACAGGAUUAGAUACCCUGGUAGUCCACACCGUAAACGAUGAUUACUAGGUGUUGGAGGAUUGACCCCUUCAGUGCCGCAGUUAACACAAUAAGUAAUCCACCUGGGGAGUACGACCGCAAGGUUGAAACUCAAAGGAAUUGACGGGGGCCCGCACAAGCAGUGGAGUAUGUGGUUUAAUUCGACGCAACGCGAAGAACCUUACCAAGUCUUGACAUCCUGCGACGGUGCUGGAAACAGUACUUUCCUUCGGGACGCAGAGACAGGUGGUGCAUGGUUGUCGUCAGCUCGUGUCGUGAGAUGUUGGGUUAAGUCCCGCAACGAGCGCAACCCUUAUGGUCAGUUACUACGCAAGAGGACUCUGGCCAGACUGCCGUUGACAAAACGGAGGAAGGUGGGGAUGACGUCAAAUCAUCAUGCCCUUUAUGACUUGGGCUACACACGUACUACAAUGGCGUUAAACAAAGAGAAGCAAGACCGCGAGGUGGAGCAAAACUCAGAAACAACGUCCCAGUUCGGACUGCAGGCUGCAACUCGCCUGCACGAAGUCGGAAUUGCUAGUAAUCGCAGAUCAGCAUGCUGCGGUGAAUACGUUCCCGGGCCUUGUACUCACCGCCCGUCA